rnacentral:rRNA from 1 species
CCUACGGGGGGCAGCAGUGGGGGAUAUUGCACAAUGGGGGAAACCCUGAUGCAGCGACGCCGCGUGUGGGAAGACGGUCCUCUGGAUUGUACACCACUGUCCCCAGGGACGAAGAUGACGGUACCGGGGGAGGAAGCUCCGGCUAACUACGUGCCAGCAGCCGCGGUAAUACGUAGGGAGCGAGCGUUGGCCGGAAUUACUGGGUGUAAAGGGAGCGUAGGCGGGACUGCAAGUUGGGUGUCAAAUCUACCGGCUCAACCGGUAGCCGCACUCAAAACUGCAGUUCUUGAGUGAAGUAGAGGCAGGCGGAAUUCCUAGUGUAGCGGUGAAAUGCGUAGAGAUUAGGAGGAACACCAGUGGCGAAGGCGGCCUGCUGGGCUUUUACUGACGCUGAGGCUCGAAAGUGUGGGGAGCAAACAGGAUUAGAUACCCCAGUAGUC